CCCAUGGUCAUUUGGAUAGGUCAAGCGACCAGAUUCUGGACAACCAAUGACAAAUAUCAGACACUGGAGAAUGGCGACCUGCGGGUCUCUGGCAUUACAUGGGAAGAAGAUAUGGGAGAAUACAAAUGCGUUGCCGAGAAUGAAUUCGGCGCCGACAUGGUCGACACGUUCCUCUACCCCACGUUGGGUCUCUAAGGACAGCCAGGACGAGAGUGUGGUUCCGGCAGUGGACUGGGCAGAGUUGUGUAUAGCACAAAAUACACAUGCGACUUCAGGAUUUUUUUUAUUACAUCACACUGCUAAAGGGAGACGAACCCAAUUACUCUCGCAAGCAGCUAGAAAUCCCCCAACGCCAUGCAAGUGGUUUCCUUAGAGGGACCCCUUAUGUUAAAUGCGUGUGCUGUUCGAAUUCCGGGCGUGCUAUAUAACCAUCAACUGAACUCCAGGAUUUCACUUGAAUACCUGGUCGUUAGCAGCGUUCACAGCCUCAAUGCCUUUCUAGCAUCUUUGCUCACCUAGGACGGCCGGGAAAACUACAUAUAUAUAUUGACAUUCGAAGAUUUUUUGGAGAGGCAAGUUUCAAACGGCAGAGCGACGUUUCAGACGGCAAGAGUUCUGACGUUUUCUAACACAUCACAACAUCAAUUACUUAUUCGUACAGAGACGCCUCUACACAUUAACUCGCGGAUGAGAGUUCUAGGCCUCAGUGAAGCUUCGUAAAUUGAGCAUUACGAAACCCUAUCAUUUCUCCUAGAAAGGUGUUCGGAUUAUAUUUAUUUUUGGUCUGUGGAUGCUCACUAACACUGAUUACCUAUUAAUUAUGAAAACUAAAUCAUGGCGCGUGUAACAAUGUUUUAGCGAACAUGCUAGUCACUUUGUAUCCUAUUAUAGAAAAACACGUGGAUAUAAAACAUGUAUAUUGCAUGGUUACCGGAAUAAUAGUUUUUAUUAUGAUGUCUAUGAAUUGUUAGUUUUACGUUAUAUAUCGCGAGAUGUUUCUUAAAUAUAUUCUCAACAUUUAUUUAUAAAUUGACAACACAUUUUAGCGUACGGACGAAGGUCUGUGCGAACACAUAAUGCACAACAUUCGUACAUUUGACCUUCAAAAUCCACGAACGCAUAAGACAUUCCAAUUACAGGCGACUAGGAGGUCAGGCUCGGUGACUUCCAAGAUAAGAAAUAAGAUCUUUAAAAUAAAUUAUCUAAAUUAAAUAAUUAAUUAUUUAUUUAUUAUUUAAAUUAAUUAUAAUGCCUGUUCGAUUGUGUUUUGGCCAUGACUAAAGUUUAAAAAAACACAGACGCCUAAACACUGCUAAACUAGUGAAUCAUUUGAACAAUGCUGUUUAAUACACUUAUCGAACCUAUCCGCACAAUCGAGAGGUGUUAAUCGAUAUUUCUGAAUAAUGUGUACGAGCUGUCCGGGCAAGUAUAUAUAUAUAUAUAUAAGCAGUUGAACUUUUCUGGAUAUGUACGGAAUUUUUAAUUGAUCUAGUAUCAGUACUACGAACGACGUGACAUAGCAGCAAGUUCAUUUAAGAAAUUAAUGAGGCUAAUUAUUGAGGAAGCAUCACGACGGGGCACGCAACGUCGUCGCGCGUACGCCGUGAAGAUGGAAUAUGUGUUUAUGUGAACUGCUCCGAUAUAGUUUAUUGUGCGCAUGAAUACGUGUCGUUUACAUUUUUGUGUAAAUAAAUGUCAAUAAAAGCCAUACUCUGAGAAUAAUUCUGAGAAUGAA